rnacentral:lncRNA from 1 species
CAUUUUGUAUUUCAUUACAAAGAAAUGGAUUCACAUUCCAUUAGUUGCAGAGUAUGGCAAUGUUAUACAAAUUCAUGUAACUGUUUACACAAUCUUUUAAUAAAAUAGUUGCGACCUGCCAAAUAAUAUAAAAAAAGAUUCUAACAGUCCAAACUUAUCUACUCGUAUGCUCGUAUGGAGCCUAUGAAACCCGCAUCUUAGACUUGUAAACUCACAUCUGGAAAUCCUGUAAAAUAUAUAAAACAAAUGCUCUUAAGAAUAAAGUAUAAAUAUCUACAAAUCAGUGGUUAAGUAAUUUUACUUUUAACAUAACAGAGAUUUAGCCACUCACCCAAAAAAAUUCAAAUUUGAACAAAGGUAAAACAAAUACUUGAAGUGAAUUUUGUAAAACAUAGAAAGUAUAGGUAAGCAUUAUACAUGUAGAAUAUAAUAACCUACUGUCCUUACAUUCUUUUCAUGAAAAGUACAAGUUUCAAUCAAAGUCAAUCAAGCUAAACAAUGAUUACCUAUACUUUAAGCAUGCUUCUUACAUUUUCUCUAAAUAUGGGAACAUGCAUCUCUCACCGAAGAAGCACACAUAAUGCCAUUUUGCAUUCAACAGACCAGUCAAGAAGUCAUCAAUAUAGUUUUUAACAGGAUGUGGUUACGUUUAAAUAUAACUGAUUCACCUAACUUAUUAUUUUCCUUUUCGAAUUUUUUGGAUACUCCCCCUAACUAGCCUCUCACAUCUAUUCAAUGUGCAAGAUUAUGUUUUAUCAACAAAAUAAGUCUAUACAAAUUAUUAAGCACUCAAUCCAACAUCAAUAAUGCACUAAAUGUGUUUUGGGGCCAUGCGUUCUCUUCAUACUCUAACGAAAAAGAAUAAGAAAAAAACCUAAUAUCGUACUCUAACAGAUUCAUCAAAUGCUGACAGUAAAACUAAAGUACAUAACUGAUUUUAUCAAUAUUACAUAAAGAACAAAAGAUGUGGUAUGACUAAGACUUUUAUGAAAAAAGUAAAAUGAGUGAAAAUAUGGCCAUUCUUUUUACAAAUACAAGAGAGCCAAAAGCCUGAAAUCUACAAACACCUAAGUCUAUUAUGAAAAUUCAAUUAGAUAAAACAGAGGCAGCAAGUUGAGUAUUUGAAAACACACAGUCCUAUGCUAUAUUGAAUAACGACUUUUGCAACAUUCAAUAGAUCAACAUGAACAUUCUGUCAAGAUCCAAAAAAAUGAGAAAAAAUAAUUUUCUAGCUAAAUUAGCUGCUAAGAAUAUCACAAUCUUCUUAAUCAAACAAGAGUUAAAGACACAGAAAAUCAUGUUUCUUGUUUGUACUAGAAUCUUUCAAAUUAUUUAUGAAGACUUCUAAAUUCCUUGAGUCAAAAAAGAGCAUGUUUAAAGGUGACAGAUCAAGGAAUACAUACAUCAUUUGCCACUUUGAACUGUUUAUAAAGUAAGAGCAUAUUGUUUACAUAAUUAUCAUAUUUUCAUACAAAUAGGUGAGAGCAGACAAGUACACAUAAGAGAAGAAAACAAAUCUUAGACGUGCUACCAGAUCAUCUGGCCAUAUAAAUUUGAAACAUGCUUUGUUACCAUGACACAAACACUGAGCAUGUCGCAGUAAAAUAGAUUAUGAAAUAUGUGGAUAACUUAUUCAUCUUGUCACUAAAAAGCAUAAAGCCAUGGAAAUCGCUUUUAAUGCCUACUCGGUUCCUCAAACUUAAUCUUAUUAAACAAAGAUUAAUUCAAUAAAUUGCAUAUUUGUAAUACUUAGAAAGUGGAUCUAGACAAGGACCAAGAGCAUGUAGCUAAAGUGUUAAACUUGUACAAAUAUGAUACAAGCAUAAUUUUAAUUUUUUUCGUGGCACAUCACACUAAAUAAUAUAAAACUUCCUUAUCAGAGUCAACAUAUAUUUCCUUUUAUCAAUAGACAGUCAAAGUUAAAAAUAAAGACCUUUAAACAGUAUCCUCAAAUGUAGGAUUCAGUAGUUAGGCAAAGAAAUUCCUAAAUGAAGGAUCUCUAGCGCAACAAGCUUAUCAAACAGAGACUUUAAAGUAUUUCUAAAACUUUACACUAAGCAUGGUUUUGUUGGCACAUAAGAAAGGAAUUUAUGAACAUCAUUUUUUGGGAAUCAGGUAGUCAUUCAACACCAUAAACAAGUCAUAUAGCAUACACUAAAAAUCAUAAAUUGCACACCUAACGACUUACUUAUGGCAAAAGUAUGAGGGAAAAACACAAUACCUUUGAGGCGUAAAAAGGAGUCGAUGAGCUGUGUAAUCAAACACAAAUGGGCUUCUACAAAUGCUUUUUGAUGUAAUAUAAUAGCUUUGGUCUAUUAGAUAUGGAAUCAAUCGAGCAAAACUCGUACGAGCUAAGCACUCGAGUAAUAUAUCCCAACACAAUAGAGCAGGUUCAAAGGGGAUCUAAAGCCCUCAAUUCAAGUAAAUAGUGUAGAGAGGGUUGUAAACUCUGCUUGUAAGUUUUGUUUCUUCAGAAAACUGGAACAUGAGGCAAAAGUCACCACCUAUGGAAUCUCGGACAAAGAGUAACAGGAGUGACCUAAUAGACAAGGACGGAAUCACAAAACCCCAAUUACUGAAUCAAGGAGUACGACGUCGAUUAGGAGUGAAUGAAAGAACCAAAAUAUGACAGAUUUAGCUAUAGUUUACUGUGAAAAAUAGAAACUCAACUCACCAAAAUUAAAUAUUCGUGAACCCGAAUAGUUAUGACCUGGUGAGAAGUAGUGAAGAACAUUUUGACGGCAGUACUCGUCACUUUGAGCGAAGAAAUCAAGAGCAGAUUGCAAGGAAAAACUAGAAUAGGUUAUCAAAACAAAGAGAGAUAUUAGGGAUUUGAGAGAACAACAACAACAACAACAACAUCCCCAGUAUAAUCCCACAAAUGGGGUCUGGGGAGGUAAUAUGUACGCAGACCUUACCCCUACCCGAGGGGUAGAGAGGCUGUUUCCAAGAG